UACGUAGGAGGCAAGCGUUGUCCGGAAUUACUGGGCGUAAAGCGUGUGCAGGCGGGCUAGCAAGUGGUGUAUGAAAGCUCCCGGCUCAACCGGGAAGGGUUAUGCCAGACUGCUAGUCUUGAGUGCGAGAGAGGAGCGUGGAAUUCCGGGUGUAGUGGUGAAAUGCGUAGAGAUCCGGAGGAACCCCAGAGGCGAAGGCGGCGCUCUGGCUCGCAACUGACGCUCAGACACGACAGCAUGGGGAGCGAACGGG
rnacentral:rRNA from 1 species